GACGUAGGGCGCGAGCGUUGUCCGGAUUUAUUGGGCGUAAAGAGCUCGUAGGCGGCUUGUUGCGUCAGCUGUGGAAACCCGCAGCUCAACUGUGGGCUUGCAGCUGAUACGGGCAGGCUUGAAUUCGGUAGGGGAGACUGGAAUUCCUGGUGUAGCGGUGAAAUGCGCAGAUAUCAGGAGGAACACCGGUGGCGAAGGCGGGUCUCUGGGCCGAUACUGACGCUGAGGAGCGAAAGCGUGGGGAGCGAACAGG
rnacentral:rRNA from 1 species